rnacentral:rRNA from 1 species
CAGUCGUACCGGCGGAUAAUCAGCCUUUCGGGUGCGAUUCUGUGGGGCGUGAGGAGUUUAAUCACCCUCAUGUUUUACGUAUUCGUGCUCUUGGGUGCACUUGCCCGUGUGGUAGGUUAACAUCAAUUUUGGUCGUCAUAAAAUGACUGGAGGAAUGUAGCUUUGGUCUCGUAUCGAAGUGUUAUAGACUCUGGUAGAUGUGACGAUUGGGGAUUUGAGGAUUGCAACGGAUACCCUUCGGGCUACCUGUCUGGUCUCUGAUCGUUGCUC